GAUGAACGCUAGCUACAGGCUUAACACAUGCAAGUCGAGGGGAAACGAUAGAGAAAGCUUGCUUUUUCUAGGCGUCGACCGGCGCACGGGUGAGUAACGCGUAUCCAACCUGCCCAUCACUUGGGGAUAACCUUGCGAAAGUAAGACUAAUACCCAAUGACGUCUCUAGAAGACAUCUGAAGGAGAUUAAAGAUUUAUCGGUGAUGGAUGGGGAUGCGUCUGAUUAGCUUGUUGGCGGGGUAACGGCCCACCAAGGCGACGAUCAGUAGGGGUUCUGAGAGGAAGGCCCCCCCACAUUGGAACUGAGACACGGUCCAAACUCCUACGGGAGGCAGCAGUGAGGAAUAUUGGUCAAUGGACGAGAGUCUGAACCAGCCAAGUAGCGUGCAGGAUGACGGCCCUAUGGGUUGUAAACUGCUUUUAUAAGGGAAUAAAGUGAGUCUCGUGAGACUUUUUGCAUGUACCUUAUGAAUAAGGACCGGCUAAUUCCGUGCCAGCAGCCGACGG
rnacentral:rRNA from 1 species